AGAUUUAUCGGUGGAUCUUAGAUUUU
rnacentral:sRNA from 1 species